GAGCUUGCACACUGCUCCAACAAACGCCAACAAACACCAACAGUUGGGUCAGUGUGGGCCGGCCGUCUGUGUUUGUUGGCGUUUGUUGGAUGGAGUUGUUAGAGUUUGACAUGUCCAGUCUGGUCUGAUGGAGUUGUAGAAUGUCAGACCAAUGUAGCCCAUUUUCCUACAAACGGCAACAUUCUAACAGCUCGAAAUGCUGUCUCUGAAGUGAGUAAUUCCUCAAAAGCUUGAGGAGCAAAACGGGCAAAAUUCGCAAAAGCUGGAGUAUCUUCUGAGCGAAGUUCUUGACACAAGUUAGGAUAGACACCCUGUUUUGCAUGUCGCGAUAUCCAAGGUUUACACCACAGUCUCCUCCUGGCUCGUCUUGAUUGCCGUCUCUCAUGUACACGGCUAGCAGCUUUACAGGCCAGGUAGACCAGAACUACUUUGGCCACAUUCAACAAGGUCUCCACUUCAUCCAUGUUAUAUUAAACCAAAACUCAAAUAAGAAAAGGUAGGACUAGGUGACAAAAGUCAGUCUUGUCUGUUACUGUCUGGGCAGUGUGGACUGGACUGAAAUUUGACAUUCGAAUAUUCGUUUUGGUUUUUUUUUGCACAACCUGGCAUCCCCCUUCAAACGGUUCUCAUUCGCGCUUGAAUAUGUUCGAAAUAUAAUACUCUCUUUUACAAUUUCUUAUAUAGCCUAGCCAUUUUAAUAGGAUAGGACAACCCAACCUCGUUAUACUUAAUAAAUAUAUUUGCUUCUUCUUGGACUACUAAAGUGUUCCUGCAACGGGAGUAUUCUCUGGCUAGAGCGCAGAACAGCGCAGUUUGCAUGGACAGAAGUGUGUGUGUGUGUGUGUGUGUGUGUGUGUGUGUGUGUGUGUUUUAUAUCAUUAGUGUAGUCUCCGUUCUCGGGGCAUAUAAGCCCUGCUCGCGUGAGGCGCGCCGCUUCCUGCUCGCGCUGUUCUGUAGUUUAUUAAAAGUUUAUUAAUUCUGAACGCGUCUGGCCUGUCUAUCUAUAUUGCACCAAAUACGACACUGCACUCCCUUGUGAAGUCGUUUGGAUGAAAGGUUCUCAAAAUAAUCAAAAUGCAAACAAACAGACAGACACAUAGAGAUUCCUGCCUUUAUUAGAGAUAAUAAUAUAGAUUCCAGCCUUUA